UGCCAGACUCCUACGGGAGGCAGCAGUGGGGAAUAUUGCACAAUGGGGGGAACCCUGAUGCAGCGACGCCGCGUGGGUGAAGGAGUAUUUCGGUAUGUAAAGCCCUCUCAGCAGGGAAGAACAAUGACGGUACCUGACUAAGAAGCACCGGCUAAAUACGUGCCAGCAGCCGCGGUAAUACGUAGGGGGCAAGCGUUAUCCGGAUUUACUGGGUGUAAAGGGAGCGUAGACGGCAGUGCAAGUCUGGAGUGAAAGGCGGGGGCUCAACCCCCGGACUGCUCUGGAAACUGUACGGCUGGAGUGCAGGAGAGGUAAGUGGAAUUCCUAGUGUAGCGGUGAAAUGCGUAGAUAUUAGGAGGAACACCAGUGGCGAAGGCGGCCUGCUGGACGAUGACUGACGUUGAGGCUCGAAAGCGUGGGGAGCAAACAGGAUUAGAUACCCUCGUAU
rnacentral:rRNA from 1 species